AUUCAGCUGACGAGUCCGAAAUAGGGUGAAACGUGAGUCAUGGAU
rfam:Schistosoma curassoni strain Dakar, Senegal genome assembly, scaffold: SCTD_scaffold0002376